rnacentral:rRNA from 1 species
GGUAACGCUAGCGGCAGGCUAAUACACUGCAGUUCGCAAACGGUGCCUUCGGGCAUAGUCGGCGCACGGUGUGCGUAACACGUAUGCAACCUCACCUUACAUUGGGGGAUAGCCUUUCGAAAGGGAGAUUAAUACCGCAUAAUACAAUGAGAUUGGCAUCAGCUUAUUGUUAAAAGAUUUAUCGAUGUAAGAUGGGCAUGCGUCCAAUUAAGUUAGUUGGCGAGGUAACGGCUCACCAAGACGAUGAUUGGUAGGGGAACUGAGAAGGUCAAUACCCCCACACUGGCACUGAGAAUACGGGCCAGACUCCUACGGGAGGCAGCAGUAGGGAAUAUUGGGCAAUGGACGCAAGUCUGACCCAGCCAUGCCGCGUGCAGGAAGACGGCCCUCUGGGUUGUAAACUGCUUUUAUAUAGGAAGAAAGAAUCCUUGCGAGGAUAGUUGACGGUACUAUAAGAAUAAGCACCGGCUAACUCCGUGCCAGCAGCCGCGGUAAUACGGAGGGUGCAAGCGUUGUCCGGAUUUAUUUGGGUUUAAAGGGUGCGCAGGUGGUUUAUUAAGUCAGUGGUGAAAGACGAGUCGCAUUAACGAUUGCAGUGCCAGUUAGAUACUCGGUAGACUUGGAGGUCGAAUUUAGAGAGUAGGCGGAAUUAGAUCAGUGUAGCGGUGAAAUGCAUCAGAUAUCUAUCAAGAACUCCAAUUGCGAAGGCAGCCUUACUAUUAAAUUUAACUUGGACAUUCCAUGCCGAAAUGUGGGGUCUCCACACCGGACAUUACAUUACCCGGGUAGCCCACCACUGGUCAACG